rnacentral:rRNA from 1 species
GUGGGGAAUAUUGCGCAAUGGGGGAAACCCUGACGCAGCAACGCCGCGUGAAGGAUGAAGGUUUUCGGAUUGUAAACUUCUUUGAUGAGGGACGAACAAAAUGACGGUACCUCAAAAACAAGCCACGGCUAACUACGUGCCAGCAGCCGCGGUAAUACGUAGGUGGCGAGCGUUGUCCGGAAUUACUGGGUGUAAAGGGCGUGUAGGCGGGACUGUAAGUCAGAUGUGAAAUUCUGAGGCUUAACCUCAGCGCUGCAUCUGAAACUGCGGUUCUUGAGUAUCGGAGAGGAAAGUGGAAUUCCCAGUGUAGCGGUGAAAUGCGUAGAUAUUGGGAGGAACACCAGUGGCGAAGGCGACUUUCUGGACGAUAACUGACGCUGAGGCGCGAAAGCGUGGGGAGCAAACAGGAUUAGAAACCCCAGUAGUCC